rnacentral:rRNA from 1 species
UACGACUACAUAUCAGGCAUAUCAAUAAGCGGAGGAAAAGAAACUAACAAGGAUUCCCCUUAGUAACGGCGAGGUGAAGCGGGAAGAGCUCAAAUUUGAAAUCUUCAAGGUUCCUACCUUGACGAAUUGUAGUUUAAAGAAGUGUUUUCUGUUAGAUGAGUAGCAAAAGUUCCUUGGAAUGGGACAUCAUAGAGGGUGAGAAUCCCGUAUUUGGUUAUUCAUUCUAGCUUUGUGAUACACUUUCAAAGAGUCGGAUUGUUUGGGAAUGCAGUCCAAAAUGGGUGGUAAAUUUCAUCUAAAGCUAAAUAUUGGCGAGAGACCGAUAGCGAACAAGUACCGUGAGGGAAAGAUGAAAAGAACUUUGAAAAGAGAGUUAAACAGUACAGUGAAAUUGUCAAAAGGGAAGCGUUUGACACCAGUGUUGUUUUUCCGAAAAUCAAUUACGAAUGGCUUGAUUUUGUGUUGUAUUGACCUUAUCAGCUUUCUUCACUUUUUUCGAGUCUUUCUUAAUGCACUUUUCGGUUAACAAGUCAACAUCAAUUUCUUUUGUUGUAAAAGAGUAUUCGGAAGGUGGCUUUCUUUUCGGAGAAAGUGUUUAUAGCCCUAUACUUCUACAAUCGGAGAGAUUGAGGUCUGCAGCGUAGAUCCUUCGGAGGUUAGAUACACUUGUGCUAAGUUGUAGCUUUUCAUAGACAACUUGUUGACUAUGUUUAGUCAUGCGGCUUACUCGCUUGUGCUAUUUUACCUACGCUUAGGAUGUUGAGUAGCGACAUACGCAC